GGCGAGCGAAACGGGAAGAGCCCAAACCAACAAGCUUGCUUGUUGGGGUUGUAGGACACUCUAUACGGAGUUACAAAGGACGACAUUAGACGAAUCAUCUGGAAAGAUGAAUCAAAGAAGGUAAUAAUCCUGUAGUCGAAAAUGUUGUCUCUCUUGAGUGGAUCCUGAGUACGACGGAGCACGUGAAAUUCCGUCGGAAUCUGGGAGGACCAUCUCCUAAGGCUAAAUACUCUCUAGUGACCGAUAGUGAACCAGUACCGUGAGGGAAAGGUGAAAAGCACCCCGGAAGGGGAGUGAAAUAGAACCUGAAACCGUGUGCUUACAAGUAGUCAGAGCCCGUUAAUGGGUGAUGGCGUGCCUUUUGUAGAAUGAACCGGCGAGUUACGAUUUGAUGCAAGGUUAAGCAGUAAAUGUGGAGCCGUAGCGAAAGCGAGUCUGAAUAGGGCGUUUAGUAUUUGGUCGUAGACCCGAAACCAGGUGAUCUACCCUUGGUCAGGUUGAAGUUCAGGUAACACUGAAUGGAGGACCGAACCGACUUACGUUGAAAAGUGAGCGGAUGAACUGAGGGUAGCGGAGAAAUUCCAAUCGAACCUGGAGAUAGCUGGUUCUCUCCGAAAUAGCUUUAGGGCUAGCCUCAAGUGAUGAUUAUUGGAGGUAGAGCACUGUUUGGACGAGGGGCCCCUCUCGGGUUACCGAAUUCAGACAAACUCCGAAUGCCAAUUAAUUUAACUUGGGAGUCAGAACAUGGGUGAUAAGGUCCGUGUUCGAAAGGGAAACAGCCCAGACCACCAGCUAAGGUCCCAAAAUAUAUGUUAAGUGGAAAAGGAUGUGGCGUUGCCCAGACAACUAGGAUGUUGGCUUAGAAGCAGCCAUCAUUUAAAGAGUGCGUAAUAGCUCACUAGUCGAGUGACACUGCGCCGAAAAUGUACCGGGGCUAAACAUAUUACCGAAGCUGUGGAUUGUCCUUUGGACAAUGGUAGGAGAGCGUUCUAAGGGCGUUGAAGCAUGAUCGUAAGGACAUGUGGAGCGCUUAGAAGUGAGAAUGCCGGUGUGAGUAGCGAAAGACGGGUGAGAAUCCCGUCCACCGAUUGACUAAGGUUUCCAGAGGAAGGCUCGUCCGCUCUGGGUUAGUCGGGUCCUAAGCUGAGGCCGACAGGCGUAGGCGAUGGAUAACAGGUUGAUAUUCCUGUACCAC
rnacentral:rRNA from 1 species